rnacentral:rRNA from 1 species
UGGGGAAUAUUGGGCAAUGGGCGAAAGCCUGACCCAGCAACGCCGCGUGAAGGAAGAAGGUCUUCGGAUUGUAAACUUCUGUCCUAUGGGAAGAAAAAAAUGACUGUACCAUAGGAGGAAGCUCCGGCUAACUACGUGCCAGCAGCCGCGGUAAUACGUAGGGAGCGAGCGUUGUCCGGAAUUACUGGGCGUAAAGGGUGCGUAGGCGGUUUUUUAAGUCAGAUGUGAAAUACCCGGGCUUAACCCGGGGGGUGCAUUUGAAACUGGAAGACUUGAGUGCAGGAGAGGUAAAUGGAAUUCCUAGUGUAGCGGUGAAAUGCGCAGAUAUUAGGAGGAACACCGGUGGCGAAGGCGAUUUACUGGACUGUAACUGACGCUGAGGCACGAAAGCGUGGGGAGCAAACAGG